CAGAAAUGAACUAUACAUCUGAUGAUCAACCCAAUCCCCAUGGUGAAAUUUGUGUCAGGGGUCCCAUUGUUUUUCGAGGUUAUCACAAAUAUGAAACUCAGACGAGAGAAGUCAUUGAUGAAGAUGGAUGGCUUCAUACCGGAGAUAUUGGAACGUGGUUACCUGGUGGUAGACUAAAAAUUAUUGACAGGAAGAAAAAUAUAUUUAAGUUGGCUCAAGGCGAGUAUAUUGCUCCUGAGAAGAUUGAAAAUGUAUAUGCCAAAUGCAAGUUUGUGGCGCAAUACUUUGUAUACGGUGAUAGCCUAAAUGCUUCUUUGGUAGCUGUUGUCUCAGUGGAUCAUGAUGUCUUGAAAGCAUGGGCCGCUUUAGAAGGCAUA